UGCGAGCGUAGUUGUCAGAGCUGGGAGAGCGUUUAUUGGGAAAUUGUAAAUCACUUCAUGAGCCUGCACACAGUGGGCUCCCUGCAUGCUUUUUCUUCUUAACUGCAAAAGCCUGGACCUCAUCAUACCAUUUCAGACAGGAAGCAGCCCUGCCAGUAGGCGAGACAGAGUAUGCGGUAUAAAACAGCAAGAAAUGGUUAUUUCAUGAGUGGAAUUCCAUGACCUGCUAUCUGAUUUUUGGUCACUGAAGUUUGGAGACUCUGAAAUAACCCUAGAGCAUAUGUCUGCCUGGCUACAGAUUGCCUUGAUGAAGCAAAAAUCUCCUCUGCCCUUGAAGAAAGUUGCCUGAUGGACAUAAGAACUCUGCAGAUGGCAUCAGCAGCCUUCAGAAUGAGAAGGAUAAGUCUUGAGGCAAACUAAAAAACAUAAGUACUAAUAUCACAUAUUUAAGAAUAAAAUUGUUAGCGUGUCCCAUUUCGUCCAAUUUAGUGACAUCAAAAGCUUUUGUUCUACACAGGAUUUCAUUUAAGAGUCUUACUGUUGCAGAUGACACAGCUGAUGUCUUUAUAUGUUUUCCAAGUGGCAUUCUAAAUAUGAUUACAGAAGCAUACUUUGUCAGAGUUUUAUUUCCCUAUUCUGUUUCUUAAGGAAAUUCCAGGGCCACUGACAUGUAAAAUCUUAUGUACAAGACCUAUAGUUUCAGCUUCUGUCACGCAGUUUUAAGUGUAUUUAUUAGCAUUCUUACUCCUAUUUGUUGUCCUCUUGACAAAGCAUAGAAGCAACAUGCCGCUCUCUGACGGGUAAUGGCAGCCUAUUAUGUUGUUUGAUUAACAAAGCUGCCUACAAUGUUAUUGAAUUAUAUUUGGUGAUGCAUAGCCUUGUAUUAAUUUUCUUGUAGUCCUUGCAGGCCCAUUUUGGAAGUUCGUUUUCUGUGGAUUGAGGGUAGAUUCCUUGGUAAUAAUGUCAUGGCAAGAACUAUGAGUGUAUUCAAGACUAAUAGCAUUAUUUUUAAGUAGGGGGUGAUUUAUACUAUUAAUAGCUUCAGGAACAAUACUAUAUGAUCAGUCCAUUACGUAAAUAUAGGAAAAACUAGGCUUUACUGAAUUUGCCCAGAAAGGCAAUGUUUACUAACAGAUUGGAUGUCUUUAUUUAAUUAUAAAGUGCUUUAAUUAUAAAUGAACUUAAUAUUUUUGAGUAAGUGCUGCCUGAAGUAAUGACCUGUGUUGUGACUAAACUUUUAACUUAUUAAAUUACCAUAUAAGUUCGUACUUCUAUGAUGAAGUUUUUUUUGCCUGAGAACAGCAAGUGCAUGGGGAAGUUGUAACUAACUCUACAUAUGAGCUUCAACUGCGUAUUUCAAAGCUGCUUUUUCAGAAAUGCUUUUUCAUUACACAGUUCAAUAACCCAUGAUCUCCAAUUCAUUAGGACAAUUAUUUCUUUCCCAACUUUCUCUUACUUAUUUAGCUGUUUGCCUUUCCACUGUAUACAGUAGAGAUGACCAGUUUCAUUUUUAAAGAGCUCUUUUGAGCAAUUACACUCUCUCUCAAAGUAAGUUACAAGGUAAACUCAGACGUGAGGAGGAGGAGGAGCCAGGGAGGUAUUUUAAGAGAGUGACUGGUUUGCAUUGGCAUCAGUUUGCAGUGAAUCUGAGUUUUCUUGAAUGGUCAAGAGUCACAGAAUGGCACAGAGUGGAUUUUUUACUUCUGCAGCUGCUCCUCUUGCCUUGCUUCCUUCUUGUCCUCCUUCCUUAGACCUGAAGCUGCAUAAGGGGCCAGCAGAGAGACCCUUUGAAAAAUCUCCACCAAGAGUGAUUUGAGCGCUGGGCAGAGAGUUCCUUGAUUUUGGUGUAGGAAAGGGAAAAAUUUAAUCCAGCAAUUGGAAUUUUUGUGUUAUGGGUAUAUAAAAGAUGAAAAGAGAUGUUAAAGGCUGAAGCCCAGAGUACUGUCCUAUUUGAUUCCAGAGGAGCAGUGUGUAGGGAGUUAACAAGAAGUGGCUUUUGGAUCCAAUUCAGAAUUGUCUGAUAUUCCCUGUAUUGUACUGAAAAGUCUAUGGUGCCAUUAUUGAGCACUUUAAAUGCAAGAAUAAGGCUUUUUCUAUAGUGAUGCUCAAUAAUAUGACCAGAGAAGUAGUGAGUGUGCUCUCCUGUCG